rnacentral:rRNA from 1 species
AGGAACGCUGGCGGCGUGGAUUAGGCAUGCAAGUCGAACGGUAGGAUACCUUCGGGUAUCUGAGAGUGGCGAACGGGUGAGUAACACGUAGGUGAUCUACCCUCAAGGAUUGGGACAACCCAGGGAAACUUGGGCUAAUACCGGAUGAAAGCAGCAGUGAUGUUGUUUGAAAGGUGGCGUAAGCUGCCGUUUGGGGAUGAGCCUGCGCUCUAUUAGUUAGUUGGCGGGGUAAAGGCCCACCAAGGCGAUGAUAGAUAGGCGGCCUUAACGGGUGGUCGCCCACACUGGGAUUGAGAUACGGCCCAGACUCCUACGGGAGGCAGCAGUCGAGAAUAGUCUACAAUGGCCGAAAGGCUGAUAGUGCGACGCCGCGUGAACGAAGAAGCCCUUCGGGGUGUAAAGUUCUUUUAUAUGUGAGCAGUGCUUUCUAUGUGAACAGCAUGGGGAGAGAGAUAUUAGCAUAUGAAUAAGCAACGGCUAACUCCGUG